AUUGAACGCUGGCGGCAGGCUUAACACAUGCAAGUCGAGCGGAGAUGAGGUGCUUGCACCUUAUCUUAGCGGCGGACGGGUGAGUAAUGCUUAGGAAUCUGCCUAUUAGUGGGGGACAACAUUCCGAAAGGAAUGCUAAUACCGCAUACGCCCUACGGGGGAAAGCAGGGGAUCUUCGGACCUUGCGCUAAUAGAUGAGCCUAAGUCGGAUUAGCUAGUUGGUGGGGUAAAGGCCUACCAAGGCGACGAUCUGUAGCGGGUCUGAGAGGAUGAUCCGCCACCCUGGGACUGAGACACGGCCCAGACUCCUACGGGAGGCAGCAGUGGGGAAUUUUGGACAAUGGGCGGAAGCCUGAUCCAGCCAUGCCGCGUGUGUGAAGAAGGCCUUAUGGUUGUAAAGCACUUUAAGCGAGGAGGAGGCUACUUUAGUUAAUACCUAGGGAUAGUGGACGUUACUCGCAGAAUAAGCACCGGCUAACUCUGUGCCAGCCGCCGCCGUAAUAC
rnacentral:rRNA from 1 species